GGCUGGGUGACCGAGUUGGUUAAGGUGUUGGAUUUAAGACUUUUAAGUUUCCCAAUGAAGGCGACUUCGCGCGAGUUCGAAUCUCGCCUCAGCCA